rnacentral:rRNA from 1 species
GAUGAACGCUGGCGGUAUGCUUAACACAUGCAAGUCGAACGGUCACUUCGGUGAUAGUGGCGGACGGGUGAGUAACGCGUGAGAAUCUGUCUUCAGGUCGGGGACAACAGUUAGAAAUGACUGCUAAUACCGGAUGUGCCUUUGGGUGAAAGAUUUAUUGCCUGAAAAAGAGCUCGCGUCAGAUUAGCUAGUAGGUGGUGUAAGAGACUACCUAGGCUCCGAUCUGUAGCUGGUCUGAGAGGACGAUCAGCUACACUGGAACUGAGACACGGUCCAGACUCCUACGGGAGGCAGCAGUGGGGAAUUUUCCGCAAUGGGCGAAAGCCUGACGGAGCAAUACCGCGUGAGGGACGAAGGCUUUUGGGUCGUAAACCUCUUUUCUCAAGGAAGAUGAUGACGGUACUUGAGGAAUAAGCAUCGGCUAACCCUGUG